UUUGAGUGAGUGGCGGACGGGUGAGUAACACGUGGGUAACCUGCCCUAAAGUGGGGGAUAACAUUUGGAAACAGAUGCUAAUACCGCAUAAAACCUAACACCGCAUGGUGUAGGGUUGAAAGAUGGUUUCGGCUAUCACUUUAGGAUGGACCCGCGGUGCAUUAGUUAGUUGGUGAGGUAAAGGCUCACCAAGACCGUGAUGCAUAGCCGACCUGAGAGGGUAAUCGGCCACACUGGGACUGAGACACGGCCCAGACUCCUACGGGAGGCAGCAGUAGGGAAUCUUCCACAAUGGACGAAAGUCUGAUGGAGCAACGCCGCGUGAGUGAAGAAGGUUUUCGGAUCGUAAAACUCUGUUGUUGGAGAAGAAUGUAUCUGAUAGUAACUGAUCAGGUAGUGGCGGUAUCCAACCAGAAAGCCACGGCUAACUACGUGCCAGCAGCCGCGGUAAUACGUAGGUGGCAAGCGUUGUCCGGAUUUAUUGGGCGUAAAGCGAGCGCAGGCGGUUUCUUAAGUCUGAUGUGAAAGCCUUCGGCUCAACCGAAGAAGUGCAUCGGAAACUGGGAAACUUGAGUGCAGAAGAGGACAGUGGAACUCCAUGUGUAGCGGUGAAAUGCGUAGAUAUAUGGAAGAACACCAGUGGCGAAGGCGGCUGUCUGGUCUGUAACUGACGCUGAGGCUCGAAAGCAUGGGUAGCAAACAGGAUUAGAUACCCUGGUAGUCCAUGCCGUAAACGAUGAGUGCUAGGUGUUGGAGGGUUUCCGCCCUUCAGUGCCGCAGCUAACGCAUUAAGCACUCCGCCUGGGGAGUACGACCGCAAGGUUGAAACUCAAAGGAAUUGACGGGGGCCCGCACAAGCGGUGGAGCAUGUGGUUUAAUUCGAAGCAACGCGAAGAACCUUACCAGGUCUUGACAUCCUUUGACCACUCUAGAGAUAGAGCUUUCCCUUCGGGGACAAAGUGACAGGUGGUGCAUGGUUGUCGUCAGCUCGUGUCGUGAGAUGUUGGGUUAAGUCCCGCAACGAGCGCAACCCUUAUUACUAGUUGCCAGCAUUAAGUUGGGCACUCUAGUGAGACUGCCGGUGACAAACCGGAGGAAGGUGGGGACGACGUCAAAUCAUCAUGCCCCUUAUGACCUGGGCUACACACGUGCUACAAUGGAUGGUACAACGAGUUGCGAGACCGCGAGGUUUAGCUAAUCUCUUAAAACCAUUCUCAGUUCGGAUUGUAGGCUGCAACUCGCCUACAUGAAGCCGGAAUCGCUAGUAAUCGCGGAUCAGCAUGCCGCGGUGAAUACGUUCCCGGGCCUUGUACACACCGCCCGUCACACCAUGAGAGUUUGUAACACCCAAAGCC
rnacentral:rRNA from 1 species